GCUGGGCAGGCGUGUGGUUCAAAUUCUUUGUCAGAGUGGACCCUUUGUGGUUCUCCAUCUGUGGUAUGAGAUGGACAUGCUUGCCUUCUCUAACUGCACACAUGGUUUCAGUAAUAACGAGGCUGAGAAGCUCAAAACGAUGAGGUAUUGCAUCCCAUCCAAAUUUUCUCAAGAUGUUUUAGACCUAAUUUGGAAGAUACGCUUACCCAAGUAGCAGGUGGAUCAAGGGUACGCUGGUCUCGUUGGGCCUCAAGUAGCAGCUGGAUCAAGGGACUGAAGGAGAGGACGCUGCCACUUCCCGCCCGGAGAAGAGGGCCAUCGCGCCAUCGAUGGGAGGAGGCCAGGCUGAGCACGCCUUCGCCACCGGCGUUGCCCUGGGAGAUCUGCUAACUUCUCGGUUCUUGCUAUUGCAGGUUAUUUGCCUGCCCGUGCUGCUAGCCCUAUCAUGGUUGAUUUUGCUGGUUGGAAUCCGACGGAUCGGCGUCCGGCGAGCCAGAUGGAUUGUGUGCCCGCCUUUUCUUAAUUGGAAAGAACAUAUCUUUUGUUGCUGGAGAUUGAAUGCUUGGGCUGAUGCUUCAUUCUGUGCGUGAAUUGUUUGGAUUGCUACUGAUUUCAAUGUACUAAGGGAAUCCUAAAUGAUUAAUGGCGUUGUGUUGUACAAUAGUAUUCAACGGUGUUUGUCGGGAUUCUUGUAAGAUUUCGUAAGAGACAUGCAUAAGGGAGAUUUACUUUCUUA